GACGAACGCUGGCGGCGCGCCUAACACAUGCAAGUCGAACGAGCGAGAGAGAGCUUGCUUUCUUGAGCGAGUGGCGAACGGGUGAGUAACGCGUGAGGAACCUGCCUCAAAGAGGGGGACAACAGUUGGAAACGACUGCUAAUACCGCAUAAGCCCACGGUGCCGCAUGGCACAGAGGGAAAAGGAGCAAUCCGCUUUGAGAUGGCCUCGCGUCCGAUUAGCUAGUUGGUGAGGUAACGGCCCACCAAGGCGACGAUCGGUAGCCGGACUGAGAGGUUGAACGGCCACAUUGGGACUGAGACACGGCCCAGACUCCUACGGGAGGCAGCAGUGGGGAAUAUUGCACAAUGGGGGAAGCCCUGAUGCAGCGACGCCGCGUGGAGGAAGAAGGUCUUCGGAUUGUAAACUCCUGUUGUUGGGGAAGAUAAUGACGGUACCCAACAAGGAAGUGACGGCUAACUACGUG
rnacentral:rRNA from 1 species